AUUGAACGCUGGCGGCAGGCCUAACACAUGCAAGUCGGACGGUAGCACAGAGAGCUUGCUCUCGGGUGACGAGUGGCGGACGGGUGAGUAAUGUCUGGGGAUCUGCCCGAUAGAGGGGGAUAACCACUGGAAACGGUGGCUAAUACCGCAUAACGUCGCAAGACCAAAGAGGGGGACCUUCGGGCCUCUCACUAUCGGAUGAACCCAGAUGGGAUUAGCUAGUAGGCGGGGUAAUGGCCCACCUAGGCGACGAUCCCUAGCUGGUCUGAGAGGAUGACCAGCCACACUGGAACUGAGACACGGUCCAGACUCCUAAGGGAGGCAGCAGUGGGGAAUAUUGCACAAUGGGCGCAAGCCUGAUGCAGCCAUGCCGCGUGUAUGAAGAAGGCCUUCGGGUUGUAAAGUACUUUCAGCGGGGAGGAAGGCGAUGCGGUUAAUAACCGUGUCGAUCGACGUUACCCGCAGAAGAAGCACCGGCUAACUCCGUGCCAGCCGCCGCCGUAA
rnacentral:rRNA from 1 species